rnacentral:tRNA from 1 species
GGGCCCUUAGCUCAGCGGUAGAGCACUUCCUCGGCAUGGAAGGGGCCGCGGGUUCGAUUCCCGCAGGGUCCA